rnacentral:rRNA from 1 species
GAUGCGGCGAGCUAUACAUGCAAGUCGAGCGAACAGAUAAGGAGCUUGCUCCUUUGACGUUAGCGGCGGACGGGUGAGUAACACGUGGAUAACCUACCUAUAAGACUGGGAUAACUUCGGGAAACCGGAGCUAAUACCGGAUAACAUAUUGAACCGCAUGGUUCAAUAGUGAAAGGCGGCUUUGCUGUCACUUAUAGAUGGAUCCGCGCCGUAUUAGCUAGUUGGUAAGGUAACGGCUUACCAAGGCAACGAUACGUAGCCGACCUGAGAGGGUGAUCGGCCACACUGGAACUGAGACACGGUCCAGACUCCUACGGGAGGCAGCAGUAGGGAAUCUUCCGCAAUGGGCGAAAGCCUGACGGAGCAACGCCGCGUGAGUGAUGAAGGUCUUCGGAUCGUAAAACUCUGUUAUCAGGGAAGAACAAAUGUGUAAGUAACUGUGCACAUCUUGACGGUACCUGAUCAGAAAGCCACGGCUAACUACGUGCCAGCAGCCGCGGUAAUACGUAGGUGGCAAGCGUUAUCCGGAAUUAUUGGGCGUAAAGCGCGCGUAGGCGGUUUUUUAAGUCUGAUGUGAAAGCCCACGGCUCAACCGUGGAG